GACGGAAAGACCCCGUGAACCUUUACUAUAGCUUGACACUGAACAUUGAGCCUUGAUGUGUAGGAUAGGUGGGAGGCUUUGAAGCGUGGACGCCAGUCUGCGUGGAGCCGACCUUGAAAUACCACCCUUUAAUGUUUGAUGUUCUAACGUGGACCCGUUACCCGGGUUGCGGACAGUGUCUGGUGGGUAGUUUGACUGGGGCGGUCUCCUCCUAAAGAGUAACGGAGGAGCACGAAGGUUGGCUAAUCCUGGUCGGACAUCAGGAGGUUAGUGCAAUGGCAUAAGCCAGCUUGACUGCGAGCGUGACGGCGCGAGCAGGUGCGAAAGCAGGUCAUAGUGAUCCGGUGGUUCUGAAUGGAAGGGCCAUCGCUCAACGGAUAAAAGGUACUCCGGGGAUAACAGGCUGAUACCGCCCAAGAGUUCAUAUCGACGGCGGUGUUUGGCACCUCGAUGUCGGCUCAUCACAUCCUGGGGCUGAAGUAGGUCCCAAGGGUAUGGCUGUUCGCCAUUUAAAGUGGUACGCGAGCUGGGUUUAGAACGUCGUGAGACAGUUCGGUCCCUAUCUGCCGUGGGCGCUGGAGAACUGAGGGGGGCUGCUCCUAGUACGAGAGGACCGGAGUGGACGCAUCACUGGUGUUCGGGUUGUCAUGCCAAUGGCACUGCCCGGUAGCUAAAUGCGGAAGAGAUAAGUGCUGAAAGCAUCUAAGCACGAAACUUGCCCCGA
rnacentral:rRNA from 1 species